rnacentral:rRNA from 1 species
GACAGAGGGUGCAAACGUUGUUCGGAUUUACUGGGCGUAAAGCGCGUGUAGGCGGCUUUGCAAGUCGGAUGUGAAAGCCCACGGCUCAACCGUGGAAGUGCAUCCGAAACUACAUGGCUUGAGUCUCGGAGAGGAAGGUGGAAUGCUUGGUGUAGAGGUGAAAUUCGUAGAUAUCAAGCAGAACACCUGCGGCGAAGGCGGCCUUCUGGACGAUGACUGACGCUGAGACGCGAAAGCGUGGGGAGCAAACGGG